rnacentral:tRNA from 1 species
GGAAAAGUGUCAGAGUGGUCGAAUGUGCCUCCUUGCUAAGGAGGUAGGGUGUUAAAACCCUCGAGGGUUCGAAUCCCUCCUUUUCCG